GGUCUGAUGGCGUAGUGGUAACGCACUCUGUAAAGCUGGUAGGGUCCGGUUAAAUCUUCACGGAGGGUCUGGAGUUCAAUUCUUCGUCAGGCCU